rnacentral:rRNA from 1 species
GAUGAACGCUGGCGGCGUGCCUAAUACAUGCAAGUCGAGCGAACGGACGAUAAGCUUGCUUUUCUGAUGUUAGCGGCGGACGGGUGAGUAACACGUGGAUAACCUACCUAUAAUACUGGUAUAACUUCGUGAAACCGGAGCUAAUACCGGAUAAUAUUUUGAACCGCAUUGUUCAUUAGUUAAAUACGGUCUUGCUGUCACUUAUAGAUUGAUCCGCGCUGCAUUAGCUAGUUGGUAAGGUAACGGCUUACCAAGGCAACGAUGCAUAGCCGACCUGAGAGGGUGAUCGGCAACACUGGAAGUGAGAAACGGACAAGAAGACUACGGGAGGAAGCAGUAGGGAAUCGGACGCAAUGGGCGAAAGCAUGACGGAGAAAAGCCGAGGGAGUGAUGAAGGUAUUCGGAUCGGAAAACUCUGUUAUUAGGGAAGAAAAUAUGUGUAAGUAAAUGUGCACAUAGUGACGGUACCUAAUAAGAAAGCCACGGCUAACUACGUG